rnacentral:rRNA from 1 species
ACGGAAUUUGUCGAAGAUGAAAAUCAGUGGCGGACGGGUGAGUAUAAGUAAGGAACGUACCCUGAAGUAUCGCAUAGCUCGUCGAAAGACGGGGUAAUACGGUAUGUGAACGCAAGUUCAAAGAGCGUAACAACUCGCUUUAGGAGCGGCCUUAUAUCUAUCAGCUAGUUGGUGGGGUAAAGGCCUACCAAGGCUACGACGGAUAGGGGGUGUGAGAGCACGACCCCCCACAAUGGCACUGAGACACGGGCCAUACAUCUACGGAUGGCAGCAACUGGGAAUAUUCGGCAAUGGACGAAAGUCUGACCGAGCGACGCCGCGUGAGGGAUGAAGGUUUUCAGAUCGUAAACCUCUUUUAUAUUGCCGUCGAGGCAAUAAGAAUAAGCACCUACAAACUACGUGCCAGCAGUCGCGGUAAUACGUAGGGUGCAAGCGUUAUCCGGAUUCACUGGGCGUAAAGUGUCGUGUAGGCGGCAUGCCGCAUCGUGUCUGAAAGCCCGAGGCUUAACCUCGGCGUUGGACACGAGAUGGGUAAACUAAGAGGAAUGGAGAGGAAAGGGGAACUCAUGGUGAAGCAGUGAAAUGCGUUGAUAUCAUGAGGAACACCGAAGGCGAAGGCACCUUUCUGGCCAUUAACUGACGCUGAGACACGAAAGCUAGGGGAGCGAAGCAGAUUAGAGACCUGCGUAGUCCUAGCCCUAAACGCAUGUCUGCUAGAUGCCCUGACGCAAGUUGGGGUGUCGUAAGCUAACGCGUUAAGCAGACCGCCUGGGGACUACGAGCGCAAGCUUAAAAC